AUACGUAGGGGGCGAGCGUUGUCCGGAAUGAUUGGGCGUAAAGGGCGCGUAGGCGGCCCGGUAAGUCUGGAGUGAAAGUCCUGUUUUUAAGAUGGGAAUUGCUUUGGAUACUGUCGGGCUUGAGUGCAGGAGAGGUAAGUGGAAUUCCCAGUGUAGCGGUGAAAUGCGUAGAGAUUGGGAGGAACACCAGUGGCGAAGGCGACGUACUGGACUGUAACUGACGCUGAGGCGCGAAAGUGGGGGGAGCAAACAGGAAUAGAUACCCUGGUAGUCCACACUGUAAACGAUGAAUGCUAGGUGUAGGGGGUAUCUACCCCUUCUGUGCCGCAGUCAACACAAUAAGCAUUCCGCCUGGGGAGUACGGCCGCAAGGUUGAAACUCAAAGUAAUUGGCGGGG
rnacentral:rRNA from 1 species